rnacentral:tRNA from 1 species
GGUGAUGUGGCUCAAGCGAUAGCGCGCUCGCCUGGAAUGCGAGGGGCGCUGGGUUGGAUCCUCAGCACCACAU